CACAUCCCCGAGCUCCAUGGGCCAGACCACGCUGGAAAACACUACCGAUCAAUAGUAAACAAAGCCCUGACCCAAGCCCAGUAAAAUGCUAAAUAUCUGAGACUGCAAAACACCAUUAUCAGCAAUUUCCCCUCACACUUUAGGAACUGCUAAAUAAAUGUAUGCACGCCCCCCUCCCCUUUCCUAUUAUGUAACAAAUGUACAUAAGCCACUUCCACUGCUGGGGAACAGAAAAGGCAGGUGCCCACAGAGGUCACCUUCUUUGCUUCUGUUCAUGGAGUCCUUGGCUUUUUAUUUUUGA
rnacentral:lncRNA from 1 species